AAACCAAUCUAGACUUUUCUCUUUGGCUUGUACCUUCUCCCGUCUCGUCUUCCCUCCUUCCAUUAUUGGAUAUCACAUAAAUUCUUUCUUUUCUUCCCCAGCAAGCUCCACUAUUCCUGUUGUCUUCAGGCUCCUGUCGUCUCUCACUGGACCUAUUGUAGUGCACUCCUGAGGAGAGAACUAAUUUAGAAGCAAGAAAACAAAUGCAGAAAGAAAAUUAAAAGCCUCAUUCUGAGAAAGCAUCUAUGAUUCUCACCAGAUUAUCAAAGGAAUCUAAAGCACAUGGAUUAAACCAAGAAAUUUUGGUAACGAUAUCUGGGGAGGUGUGGUGAUUGGACCAUUUCGUGUAACUGUAUGGAAAUCAGCUCAGCUUUGCCCAUUCCAGCACCUGGUUAAAUCAUGCCGGAAUGUGAGGAUUAGAAAAUUAUCAAGCUUGACAAAAGCAUCUCUCACUGAAUGAAAGUCACAGCUAUUGGUUGCAAUUCUGUAACCAUUUGGGUCACUGGAGAUUUCCUGGAUUCAAAGAAGUACAGAAACUGGGAAAAAUGAGCUUUUAAGUAGGUGGUGGGAGAAAACCACACCGAUAAAAAUUAUAAA
rnacentral:lncRNA from 1 species